AACAAACGCUGGCGGCGUGCCUAAUACAUGCAAGUCGAACGGGGAAAGCUUUCGGGUGAGUACUAGUGGCGCACGGGUGAGGAACGCGUGGAUAAUCUGCCUUAGAGUGGGGGAUAACUAGUCGAAAGAUUAGCUAAUACCGCAUAAGACCACGAGAGCUGCGGCUUUUGAGGUCAAAGGUUUUUCGCUCUAAGAUGAGUCCGCGUAAGAUUAGCUAGUUGGUGAGGUAACGGCUCACCAAGGCGACGAUCUUUAACUGGUCUGAGAGGAUGAUCAGUCACACUGGAACUGAGACACGGUCCAGACUCCUACGGGAAGCAGCAGUAGGGAAUAUUGCACAAUGGAGGAAACUCUGAUGCAGCGACGCCGCGUGAGUGAUGAAGGCCUUCGGGUCGUAAAGCUCUGUCGCAGGGGAAUAACACAAUGAAGGUACCCUGUAAGAAAGGAUCGGCUAACUUCGUG
rnacentral:rRNA from 1 species